UCAUGAGCUAAUGUUCACAUGUAAACAGCAGCUCAUGUAGUGUAGAUGUCCAGUCAACAAGCAUGUAGCGUAGACUGUCCAGGCGACACACGUACUUAGGUAUCGUCAUGAGCUAAUGUUCACAUGUAAACAGCAGCUCAUGUAGUGUAGAUGUCCAGUCAACAAGCAUGUAGCGUAGACUGUCCAGGCGACACACGUACUUAGGUAUCGUCAUGAGCUAAUGUUCACAUGUAAACAGCAGCUCAUGUAGUGUAGAUGUCCAGUCAACAAGCAUGUAGCGUAGACUGUCCAGGCGACACACGUACUUAGGUAUCGUCAUGAGCUAAUGUUCACAUGUAAACAGCAGCUCAUGUAGUGUAGAUGUCCAGUCAACAAGCAUGUAGCGUAGACUGUCCAGGCGACACACGUACUUAGGUAUCGUCAUGAGCUAAUGUUCACAUGUAAACAGCAGCUCAUGUAGUGUAGAUGUCCAGUCAACAAGCAUGUAGCGUAGACUGUCCAGGCGACACACGUACUUAGGUAUCGUCAUGAGCUAAUGUUCACAUGUAAACAGCAGCUCAUGUAGUGUAGAUGUCCAGUCAACAAGCAUGUAGCGUAGACUGUCCAGGCGACACACGUACUUAGGUAUCGUCAUGAGCUAAUGUUCACAUGUAAACAGCAGCUCAUGUAGUGCAGAGAUUGUCCAGUCAACAAGGAUGUAGCGUAGACUGUCCAGGCGACACACGUACUUAGGUAUCGUCAUGAGCUAAUGUUCACAUGUAAACAGCAGCUCAUGUAGUGCAGAGAUUGUCCAGUCAACAAGGAUGUAGCGUAGACUGUCCAGGCGACACACGUACUUAGGUAUCGUCAUGAGCUAAUGUUCACAUGUAAACAGCAGCUCAUGUAGUGCAGAGAUUGUCCAGUCAACAAGGAUGUAGCGUAGACUGUCCAGGCGACACACGUACUUAGGUAUCGUCAUGAGCUAAUGUUCACAUGUAAACAGCAGCUCAUGUAGUGCAGAGAUUGUCCAGUCAACAAGGAUGUAGCGUAGACUGUCCAGGCGACACACGUACUUAGGUAUCGUCAUGAGCUAAUGUUCACAUGUAAACAGCAGCUCAUGUAGUGCAGAGAUUGUCCAGUCAACAAGGAUGUAGCGUAGACUGUCCAGGCGACACACGUACUUAGGUAUCGUCAUGAGCUAAUGUUCACAUGUAAACAGCAGCUCAUGUAGUGCAGAGAUUGUCCAGUCAACAAGGAUGUAGCGUAGACUGUCCAGGCGACACACGUACUUAGGUAUCGUCAUGAGCUAAUGUUCACAUGUAAACAGCAGCUCAUGUAGUGCAGAGAUUGUCCAGUCAACAAGGAUGUAGCGUAGACUGUCCAGGCGACACACGUACUUAGGUAUCGUCAUGAGCUAAUGUUCACAUGUAAACAGCAGCUCAUGUAGUGCAGAGAUUGUCCAGUCAACAAGGAUGUAGCGUAGACUGUCCAGGCGACACACGUACUUAGGUAUCGUCAUGAGCUAAUGUUCACAUGUAAACAGCAGCUCAUGUAGUGCAGAGAUUGUCCAGUCAACAAGGAUGUAGCGUAGACUGUCCAGGCGACACACGUACUUAGGUAUCGUCAUGAGCUAAUGUUCACAUGUAAACAGCAGCUCAUGUAGUGCAGAGAUUGUCCAGUCAACAAGGAUGUAGCGUAGACUGUCCAGGCGACACACGUACUUAGGUAUCGUCAUGAGCUAAUGUUCACAUGUAAACAGCAGCUCAUGUAGUGCAGAGAUUGUCCAGUCAACAAGGAUGUAGCGUAGACUGUCCAGGCGACACACGUACUUAGGUAUCGUCAUGAGCUAAUGUUCACAUGUAAACAGCAGCUCAUGUAGUGCAGAGAUUGUCCAGUCAACAAGGAUGUAGCGUAGACUGUCCAGGCGACACACGUACUUAGGUAUCGUCAUGAGCUAAUGUUCACAUGUAAACAGCAGCUCAUGUAGUGCAGAGAUUGUCCAGUCAACAAGGAUGUAGCGUAGACUGUCCAGGCGACACACGUACUUAGGUAUCGUCAUGAGCUAAUGUUCACAUGUAAACAGCAGCUCAUGUAGUGCAGAGAUUGUCCAGUCAACAAGGAUGUAGCGUAGACUGUCCAGGCGACACACGUACUUAGGUAUCGUCAUGAGCUAAUGUUCACAUGUAAACAGCAGCUCAUGUAGUGCAGAGAUUGUCCAGUCAACAAGGAUGUAGCGUAGACUGUCCAGGCGACACACGUACUUAGGUAUCGUCAUGAGCUAAUGUUCACAUGUAAACAGCAGCUCAUGUAGUGCAGAGAUUGUCCAGUCAACAAGGAUGUAGCGUAGACUGUCCAGGCGACACACGUACUUAGGUAUCGUCAUGAGCUAAUGUUCACAUGUAAACAGCAGCUCAUGUAGUGCAGAGAUUGUCCAGUCAACAAGGAUGUAGCGUAGACUGUCCAGGCGACACACGUACUUAGGUAUCGUCAUGAGCUAAUGUUCACAUGUAAACAGCAGCUCAUGUAGUGCAGAGAUUGUCCAGUCAACAAGGAUGUAGCGUAGACUGUCCAGGCGACACACGUACUUAGGUAUCGUCAUGAGCUAAUGUUCACAUGUAAACAGCAGCUCAUGUAGUGUAGAUGUCCAGUCAACAAGGAUGUAGCGUAGACUGUCCAGGCGACACACGUACUUAGGUAUCGUCAUGAGCUAAUGUUCACAUGUAAACAGCAGCUCAUGUAGUGUAGAUGUCCAGUCAACAAGGAUGUAGCGUAGACUGUCCAGGCGACACACGUACUUAGGUAUCGUCAUGAGCUAAUGUUCACAUGUAAACAGCAGCUCAUGUAGUGUAGAUGUCCAGUCAACAAGGAUGUAGCGUAGACUGUCCAGGCGACACACGUACUUAGGUAUCGUCAUGAGCUAAUGUUCACAUGUAAACAGCAGCUCAUGUAGUGUAGAUGUCCAGUCAACAAGGAUGUAGCGUAGACUGUCCAGGCGACACACGUACUUAGGUAUCGUCAUGAGCUAAUGUUCACAUGUAAACAGCAGCUCAUGUAGUGCAGAGAUUGUCCAGUCAACAAGGAUGUAGCGUAGACUGUCCAGGCGACACACGUACUUAGGUAUCGUCAUGAGCUAAUGUUCACAUGUAAACAGCAGCUCAUGUAGUGCAGAGAUUGUCCAGUCAACAAGGAUGUAGCGUAGACUGUCCAGGCGACACACGUACUUAG